rnacentral:ncRNA from 21 species
CGCUCCGGUGCGAGGGGCGGUCUCUUUUCCCAAGGACCACGACGGUGAAAGAACCCGACCAAGCCCCACCCCUCCCGCCCGCUGCGCAAACUCACCCACCCGGGUGAACAUCGCCAACUCGGCUGGAUUCCCAGCCCCUUGCUGGCCCUACGCUCAGCGCAACACAACCGCAGACAUGCGACGGCCCCCGCCGGGACGGCAAUCCCAGUGCGAGGGCCUGACCACCGAGGAAGUAGGAGCUUCCCG